CAACUAACAAUAGAUUUGUAACAAAGAAAGUUAUGCAACUUUAAGUUCAUCUAUUAGUAUUAAAAAAAAAGUGAUUUGUUCUCUUUCUUUUAUUUUUAUUCCUCUUUUAUUUAACAAGAUAAUAAGGUAGUAAAUAAAUUAGCAUAAUGUAAAUGAUAUAGUUAGAUAACAAUAAACAUAAACAUAAAAUACUUGAAAUAAAAUGAACAAUAAAAUAAAUUGCAAAAAAAUAAAGUGCAAUAAUAUAAAUGUUAGGAGUUAGUAAUUAGUAGUUAAUAACAAUAAGCAAAUGGAUUAGCAAGUUAAUGUAAAGACAUGGUUUUAUCUAUGCAUCAAAUAACCCAAAUAUGGUUAAAAUAGAGGCAAUCUAUCAAUGCCUCAAAGUAUCAUGAAUGAUCUAUUGAUCAACCAUAGAUAGGUUUGAAACAUUGAAGAUUUAAUCAACUCUAAACAACUGUGGUCAAGAUCUAAUACACCUCAUCAACCAAACAAACACAACAACAAGUCCAUAAUAAAAGAAAAUGAU
rnacentral:lncRNA from 1 species